rnacentral:rRNA from 1 species
GGGUGAGUAAUACAUCGGAACGUACCCAGUAGCGGGGGAUAGCCCGGCGAAAGCCGGAUUAAUACCGCAUACGCCCUAAGGGGGAAAGGGGGGGAUCGCAAGACCUCUCACUAUUGGAGCGGCCGAUGGCUGAUUAGCUAGUUGGUGAGGUAAAGGCUCACCAAGGCGACGAUCCGUAGCUGGUUUGAGAGGACGACCAGCCACACUGGGACUGAGACACGGCCCAGACUCC